UACGAAGGGGGCUAGCGUUGUUCGGAAUUACUGGGCGUAAAGCGCGCGCAGGCGGUUCUUCAAGUCAGUGGUGAAAGCCCGGAGCUCAACUCCGGAAAUGCCAUUGAAACUGUAGAACUUGAGGACGAGAGAGGUGAGUGGAAUUCCCAGUGUAGAGGUGAAAUUCGUAGAUAUUGGGAAGAACACCGGUGGCGAAGGCGGCUCACUGGCUCGUUUCUGACGCUCAGGCGCGAUAGCGUGGGGAGCAAACGGG
rnacentral:rRNA from 1 species